UACGUAGGGGGCAAGCGUUGUCCGGAUUUAUUGGGCGUAAAGAGCGUGUAGGCGGCCAGACAGGUCCGUUGUGAAAACUCGAGGCUCAACCUCGAGAUGUCGAUGGAAACCGUCUGGCUAGAGUCCGGAAGAGGAGUGUGGAAUUCCUGGUGUAGCGGUGAAAUGCGCAGAUAUCAGGAAGAACACCUAUGGCAAAGGCAGCCCUCUGGGACGGUACUGACGCUGAGACGCGAAAGCGUGGGGAGCGAACAGG
rnacentral:rRNA from 1 species